UGAAACGCAGGAACUGCUUUGCCCAGGAGUUCAUUGCUGGAAGAACACACUGCACCAGAGCUGCUAUCUGGAGAAUCCCAGCGUGACAAGCACAAGAGCUAAAUAACUAACCUGAGAAGGUCAAAGUUCUUCUGAUGGGUUACAGAACAUCCUGCUCCUCUGAGCCGUGCCCGGGCUGGGUUCACCGUGGGCUGGGCUGGCAGCGGAGGAUGCUCUCCAUUACAUCCCCUCAAGUGUGCUCAGCAAAAAGCACUUUGGAGCAAUCUUGCCCUAACAGACAACCCUUAACAAAUUCUCAGCCCAGUUCAUCAUCUGGGGGCCAAACCACCACUUCAGGAACCUGUUGCUCCUUUGACAAGAUUCUUCAGAAAUAAUAAGUGCAGGGAGCCAAAAAAAAUGACAGGAGCUGGCACGGGAGUCCCUGCAGACGAGGCGUGCUGUGCUGAGGCGGUUUAGAGAGGACAAGGCACGAGGAAACAGAACAUAACAAAGCCGACGAACAAUCGGUGCUCCGGCGCUGCUCCGGGCAGGGAGGUGGCACUCCUGAGCCGAGGCUCAGCCCUGCCGCGCUCCCCUUCGCCUGCUCCUCCGGCCUACAGAACACUCAUCGCCGCGCAAAUUGCAGGGAUUAUUUCCUCUUAACUGCUAAUGGUUUUAGAGACUGUAAUUGGGGGUAGUGCCUGGUAAUUUAGUGCCAGAGGGGGAAGGUACCCGGACGGGAGAGGAACUUUCUCUGCGGGCACGCAGAGUUACGGCAGGGAUGUUGGCAAAGGGGGAGAUCACUUACCAGUUCCCCACUUUUCUGUGCUGUACUGGAAGGUUUAAGAGCUUUGGAGCAUUUUUCAGUCAAUGUAAGCAAGAAAAGAUUUGUUCAUUUAUCAACAAAUCUAGUCUACUCUGUCUCCUUUUGCAGCAUUUGUGAUAAAACCAGAGUUCACUUAAUAGCUGCAGGAGGAAAGCUUUCACUCUAUAUAGUGAAAAAAUAAUCAAAGAUUAAAACAAUUUACUUAUUAUGA